UAGAGUUUGAUCCUGGCUCAGAACGAACGCUGGCGGCGUGGUUAAAGCAUGCAAGUCGAACGGACUUAGCCCUUCGGGGCGAAAGUUAGUGGCGAACGGGCGAGGAAUUCAUGGAUAACGUACCCUGGACACGGGAAUAGUCAGUCGAAAGGCUGAGUAAUACCCGAUAACCCCGCGGAGUCGCAUGAUUCUGUAGGCAAAUGCUCCGGUGGUCUGGGAUCGGUCCAAGUCCUAUCAGCUUGUUGGUGGGGUAACGGCCUACCAAGGCAACAACGGGUAGCGGGCGUGAGAGCGCGUCCCGCCACAUCGGAACUGAGACACUGUCCGGACACCUACGGGUGGCUGCAGCAACGAAUAUUCCCCAAUGGACGAAAGUCUGAGGGAGCGACGCCGCGUGUAGGAGGAAGUCCCUCGGGAUGUAAACUACUGUCAGGGGUUAGGAAGAACUGACCAACCCCAAAGGAAGCACCGGCUAACUCCGUGCCAGCAGCCGCGGUAAUACGGAGGGUGCAAGCGUUGUUCGGAAUUACUGGGCUUAAAGCGCGUGCAGGCGGAAUAUCAGGUGUCUUGUGAAAGCCCCGGGCUCAACCCGGGAAUUGCUGGGCAAACCGGUAUUCUUGAGGCAAGUAGAGGUGACUGGAACAACUGGUGGAGCGGUGAAAUGCGUAGAUAUCAGUUGGAACGCCGGAGGCGAAAGCGGGUCACUGGGCUUGUUCUGACGCUCAGACGCGAAAGCGUGGGUAGCAAACAGGAUUAGAUACCCUGGUAGUCCACGCCGUAAACGAUGCGCACUAGGUAUGAGAAGUUUUGACGCUGAUCGUGCCGAAGCAAAAGUGGUAAGUGCGCCGCCUGGGGAGUACGGCCGCAAGGCUAAAACUCAAAGGAAUUGACGGGGGCUCACACAAGCGGUGGAGGAUGUGGAUUAAUUCGAAGCAACGCGCAGAACCUUACCAGGGUUUGCAUGCUUGGAUGCUCUCUUGGAAACAGGAGUAGGCUGCCUUCGGGUGAAACUUGCACAGGUGCUGCAUGGCUGUCGUCAGCUCGUGCUGUGAAGUGUCGGGUUAAGUCCCUUAACGAGCGAAACCCCUAUCGUUAGUUGCCAGCGGGUCAUGCCGGGGACUCUAGCGAGACCGCCGACGUUAAGUCGGAGGAAGGUGGGGACGACGUCAAGUCAUCAUGGCCUUUAUGCCCUGGGAUUCUCACGUCCUACAAUGGUCGGUACAGAGCGAAGCGAGACCGCGAGGUGGAGCAAAUCGCAGAAAGCCGGCCCCAGUUCGGAUUGAAGUCUGCAACUCGACUUCAUGAAGGUGGAAUCGCUAGUAAUCGCGGAUCAGCUACGCCGCGGUGAAUGUGUUCCUGAGCCUUGUACACACCGCCCGUCAAGUCAUGGAAGCUGGGAGUACCCGAAGUCCGUUUAGCUAACCCGCAAGGGAAGCGGCGGCCGACGGUAAAUCCGGUGACUGGGACUAAGUCGUAACAAGGUAACC
rnacentral:rRNA from 1 species